AGUUUGAUCCUGGCUCAGGACGACGCUUGCGGGCGCGCCUAAUGCAUGCAAGUCGAACAGACGGACCCUUUCGGGGGCGAGUUAGUGGCGGACGGCUGAGUAACGCGUAAGCAACCUACCCACCGGCGGGGGACAACCCGGAGAAAUUCGGGCUAAUACCGCAUACGGUUGCCUGCUGAUGGCGGGCAACGAAAGGCUUCGGCCGCCGGCGGAUGGGCUUGCGUCCCAUCAGGUAGUUGGCGAGGUAACGGCUCGCCAAGCCGAUGACGGGUAGCCGGUGUGAGAGCACGACCGGCCAGAGGGGGACUGAGACACGGCCCCCACUCCUACGGGAGGCAGCAGCAGGGAAUCUUGCGCAAUGGGCGAAAGCCUGACGCAGCGACGCCGCGUGAGGGAAGAAGGCCUGCGGGUCGUAAACCUCUUUUCUGGGGGAAGAUAAUGACGGUACCUCAGGAAUAAGCAUCGGCUAACUACGUGCCAGCAGCCGCGGUAAUACGUAGGAUGCGAGCGUUGUCCGGAUUCACUGGGCGUAAAGGGAGCGCAGGCGGCUGGGUAAGUCCGUGGUGCAAGCUCCAGGCUCAACCUGGAGAGGUCUGCGGAUACUGCUUGGCUUGAGGACGGUAGAGGAGCGCGGAAUUCCUGGUGUAGUGGUGAAAUGCGUAGAUAUCAGGAGGAACACCCGUGGCGAAAGCGGCGCUCUGGGCCGAUCCUGACGCUCAGGCUCGAAAGCGUGGGGAGCGAACCGGAUUAGAUACCCUGGUAG
rnacentral:rRNA from 1 species